AUUGAACGCUGGCGGCAGGCCUAACACAUGCAAGUCGAGCGGAUGAAGGGAGCUUGCUCCUGGAUUCAGCGGCAGACGGGUGAGUAAUGCCUAGGAAUCUGCCUGGUAGUGGGGGAUAACGUCCGGAAACGGGCGCUAAUACCGCAUACGUCCUGAGGGAGAAAGUGGGGGAUCUUCGGACCUCACGCUAUCAGAUGAGCCUAGGUCGGAUUAGCUAGUUGGUGGGGUAAAGGCCUACCAAGGCGACGACCCGUAACUGGUCUGAGAGGAUGAUCAGUCACACUGGAACUGAGACACGGUCCAGACCCCUACGGGAGGCAGCAGUGGGGAAUAUUGGACAAUGGGCGAAAGCCUGAUCCAGCCAUGCCGCGUGUGUGAAGAAGGUCUUCGGAUUGUAAAGCACUUUAAGUUGGGAGGAAGGGCAGUAAGUUAAUACCUUGCUGUUUUGACGUUACCAACAGAAUAAGCACCGGCUAACUUCGUG
rnacentral:rRNA from 1 species